rnacentral:misc_RNA from 1 species
GGCCAGCCACUUGAGCUUUGAAAUUUUGAAAAAAGUCAGUACAUUUAAUGCUUAGAUUUCUAUGUGAAUAGACGUGUAAAAAUACAGAAUUACAAUAAAAUUGCAUGUUAGUAUUGAAUCUUGAAUUCGUUCGAUGACAAACAACAAAUCUAUGUCACAGUACCCUACAAUUUCUUUCAUAAAUGGCAUAAAGUGGUAAAAAAAAAAUUAUGACAAAAAGAAUAUAUGGUGAUAUGCAAUAUUACAAAAAAAAAAAAAAAUCCCUUUCCUGUCAUUCGCCUGCCUGCUGCCUGAUUCCCAAGGCAAAUUCAGUAUCCAGCUUCAGCUCUGACAUGGCAUCAGAAAGCAUUUUCCCUCCCUUAGGUUCGUUUAAAACAUUCAUCUUUACCUAGAUUUGUUAGCAACAUUCUCCAACUUCCCUUAUUUCACUUCCUAUCUCUUUGUGCGUGCCAUGGAAAACCUCUAUGUAUAUUCUCCUUUCCAUUUCGCCUCUCAUUUGUCAGGCAGAAGAAUGAGGAAUCUGAAGAAGAAUGAGCGACACAAAAUAUAGAAAUAGAGAAAUAGCAGCCCCAGCAACAAAAUUAUAAAAAAGCCGCCGAGUGUCUUUUGUGGGUAUAAAAACUGCCUUCAGUGUAUUGGUUAAUUCAAAAAGCCGAUGAGAUAUCUGCAAAAGCAAAGAGAUGAUACAGACACACAUGCACACACAAAAUAGAAAUUCAAAUUAUUUACUGCCACUGUCCGAAAAUAUUAUAUUGUCAAGUUAAUAAAUGUGCUUACCAUGACAUAGAUGGCAGUUGUGAGCAUGAAAUUCAGCAAUGGAUACUCCGGUAUAAUAGAAAGAAGCCACUUAGGCUGUCCAUUGGGGAUGUUUGAUCUCAGCCAGAUGUGGAACUGCGAAAUAUAGGUCUCCAAAGUUAUCUUGCCUAGCCAACUAUGAAGAAAAGAGAGAAUCAGAGCAAGCACAAAAUGUAAUAGCAAAUACUCGAGAGAUAAUCCACAUCUAAACAGUCGAGCAAAUUCUGAGAAUUCUUCACCCAAAUAGAUAAUUAUAUGGGUAAAAGAAACAUACGCAAAGAGAGUCAAAGAGCAACUCCGUAGCUGCUGAGUGAAAUUCCGCAAGCAAAUGUAAACGCUGGAAUCACAAUUUGCAAAUGUAAUUAGAUACAAGAAAACUAAUCAAAUCCUAUUGUGGGAUAUCAUAGGUUCUACACAACACCAACAGAGCUCCAUUUCCUCUCUAUCAAUUAUCAACUCCCCACUCCAAAACCAUCUUCCUAAAAAAAGUUCUUGAUACAUACGUGAUGGGUAUCCAAGAUGUAUAGGGGUGGUACUUGUUGUAUGUAACCUUGUCCAGCUUGUAAAUAUAUUCAUACCACAAAUAACCAACCUUGAAAAGGUAAAGAGGAUGAGAUCAAACAACAAUCCGAAAUGUAGAACAGAUGAUGAAGAAUCUGUAGCCAAAUAAUGGUACUACUAGAUUCACAAAAUAAAGAGGCUCACCAAUAAGGAAACUGACACAAUUCCUGUUUUGAUUGAGAGUUUCUUCUUGGUUUCAGAUUCCUCCAAUUUCUCCAUCCAUUUUUCUACAUUUGGGUGGUAAUAUGCAUAUAUCAUUCCAAUGAUCCAAAUAUAGCGAUCAAGUCCAGAUCUGAAGUGCCACUCAUGCAUUCGAGGGAGAUCUGGCUUUGCAGGAUCAGUAUAACCUAAUAAGAAUAGUAAAGGACUCCAGAGAAUGUCAAAAACUCCAGGAAUUUCCCAAACCAAGAUAACCACAAGAAAGCAUGAAAGAAUCUUCACAGUCAUCACCGAGCCAUUCUCAUUAUACUUAUUAAAUAUACCAAGGGACCCAUACACCAUUAGUGUGAAUAGAGUGUGCAUUGGGCAGAUGUAAUACAGCAUAUAAUCGUUGUUAAGAACAAUACAGCAAAACGCCACAAAGAAAUUGAGCCGCCACAUCAUCUGAGCAAAGCGUGCAAGGCUAAAAUCCUUUUUAAUGUAAUAAUAAGAAAAAUUUCCAAAUCCAGUCAUCCAGACAUAUGCAGCAAUAAAGACACGUAUUGCAUUGUAUAUCUCUGUUGCAGCAAAGUAAUGGUACAUUAAGAAUAGGACCUGCAUCCAUCCUUUCCACUCUUCAGUUUGAUGCCGGUUAAGGUAAAGUAUGGAUUUCCCAGAGAAUGCUGAUUUGUCAUUGUGUUUCUUCAAUGAAGUCAUUCCUGAUACCAUAACGAGGAGAGCAUAGAGGAAGAGGAAAAGGUCGCGAUCGUAUUUCUUGGUGGAGUCUCCCAGCAAGUUUGUUCGGUCACAUAUAUAGAAAUAAAUAAGAAUCAUCCCAAACUCAGAUAUUGUUCUCAAAGUUGCUCGAUUUUCUAGCAAAAAGGAGUCGUCCAUAGUCAUAAAUCUGAUUAAGUUCAUUUUGAUGGAUGAGCUAUGAAAUUUUACAGAUGCUGUUCUCGUGAGGCCUCCUUCAAGCAAAACAGCUCGAUCAUCUUCCUUGAUUGUUUCCUUCUCCAACUCAACCAGAUUAUUGUCUGAAUGGACUUUAGAAAGAGAUGCAGAUUUCUUAUAGUCUAAGAACUCUGAAUAUAUCCAUGCAACAAAAACUGGGAUAAUUCCAAGCAAAAAGGACACCAGUCCAGGCGUAAUUGGCCCCGUUAUCAACAUAAUUCCGAUCCAAAAACCAGAGGGAUAGAGGGAGGGGUCAAGCGAGAUAGGCAAAGAGCGGUGAUCCAAAGGGCAUGGUCAUAAAUAUUACUAAGAAGACGAAACCAAAGCACAACCACA